UUUCAAUAUCUAGAUAUAGUAAUCGUGAAUUUCUUUUCCAGCAACAUAAGAAGAAAAAAUAGUGGAUCGCAACAACAAGAGCACGAUUUUGAACAUGCGGCAGCAGCGAGAUCACAGCAGCAAAAAGGGUUAUUUCAUAAUGCUACAUCUUUCCAUCAAGCUAUUAUCUUAUCUUUCAUUUUUCUUAUAAUCUUAAUUUAUAUAAUUAGUGACUUUAAACUUCGAUUUCAGUAAGAAAAAGAAGAGAAAUAGUGGAUCGCAGCAGCGAGAGCUAGCUCAAGAUGUAGCAGCAGGGGCAGUACAGCAGCAAAAGGGCAAUACAGCAUCUUCAAGGUAAAUAUAUUUCCAUACAGCAUCUUAGUCUUAAGUGCUAAAUUCAGUGACUGUAAACUUCAUUUUUAGAAAGAAAAGAAGGAAAAUUAGCGGAUCGCAGCAGCGGGAGUUAGAUUCUCAAGUUGCAGCAGAAACAUCACAGCAAAAUGCGGCAAUUCUCUAUUCACAACAGGGUUCAACCAUUUUUAGCAUUGAUGCAAAUAGAUUGCUAGGUUGAGAAUGCUCUGUUAUUUUUUCAAUGAAUGCUCUGUUAUUUUUUGAAUGAAUGCUUUGUUAUUUUUUGGAUGAGGUUGACCCUAUUUUUUUUGGAUAAUGAUGGAUGAUGAUGGCUUGUAAUUUUUUGGAUGCUGAUGGCCUGUAAUUUUUUGACUGAUGAUGACCCUGUUAUAUUUUGGAUGUGAUGACUUAUAUUUUGGAGCUUGAAUGAUAUUAUUGUUAUUCAUGAUACAAUUGUUAUUCAUGAUGACUUAUAUUUUUGGAUGAUGAUGGAAUUGUUGGUCUACAAUUGUUAUUCAUGAAAGUUCUGCUAUGAUGUAAUCCAAGUAAUUGCAAAUAUUGAAUGAAUGCUUAAAUAAGACAUCCUACAUAAUAAUACUUCUUUAACAGAGAUAAACUAUUGUAAUUGCAUCCUGCAAACCAACCCAAUUACAUGAAAAUUAUAUAAUACUCCAUCACAUCCUGUAUUAUAUAGUCCAUCAUAUCUAAAAUACUCCCCUUAUCAGUAUAUCAAGGAUUACAAUACAGAAAAGUAAUUUAAGCCAGAAUAGAACUUUCACUUCCAUCCUUUGAAUUUUUUGCUCAGUGGCUUCUCCAAUUGCUUUUAACUGAUAUUUUAGAUCUAAAGUGCUGUGUUGCACAUCGUCGGUCCAUAAAAAAUAAUUGCAAUGUCCAACUCCUUCAACCUGCAAAGAGAAAAAAAAAAAUUCUUAUAUAUUAUUCGUAAGAUAUAGUCCAUGCAGUUAGAAUAUACAAUAGCUUAUCUUACCCCACAAUUUAGGUAGCGGUAGAAUCGACGUCCUUGGCUUGUUGGCUGCUUCGAUACCCAUAUUCUACAAGAUCUUUCGCAGUCGCACACAUGAAUUUGUGCGCCAGGAGUUGAUGCAGAUCUCUCACUUAGAUGGCUCAUUAUGGCUAGAAGUGAGGCAAAUAAGAGAAAAAAAAAAGCUAAUAGAUGGAGAAGUAAGCUUGACUUAUUUUUGAGCUAUGGAUGUGCUUUUAUAAUGUUAGAAAAGAAGGCUACCGUUGAAAUGACCGUUGGAGGGUAAAUAGGAAACGAUUUUGAUAUUUGAAGGGCAAAUAAGAAAAGUAUUUGCUACAUGAAGGGUAUAUAAGAAAAGUUAGUUACGGUAUAAGGGUAUAUUGGAAUGGGCAAAAUGGUAAUUUUUCAGGGAUAACGACAACUGUUAACACCUCACUAACGGAAUUUAACUCCAGGGGUAAAUUAAAAAGAACUUGGAACAUAAGAAGGGUAUUUUCAAUAUUAGUCUUCUAAGAGGGGUAAAUAAGAAAAUCGGAAACUUUCAGGGGUAUAUAGGCAAUUGCCCCUAAAAACAAUUAGAAGGACAAAAUAGUAAUUUCAUAGAGAUAAUAGAGUUCAUUAACAGAUUUUAACUCUAGGUAUAUUUGAAAUAUAUUGGAACGUAAAAAGGAUAUUUUCAAUAUUAGCCUUCUAAGAGGGGUAAAUCAAAAAGUUUCCGCUAAGAAGGUUAAAUCAAAAGGUCGAAAACUUUUUAGAAGUAUAUAAGCAAUUGCCCCUUUUUACUAUUACAAUUGCCAUCUUGGGUAAAUUGAUAAGGCAUGCGAGUACCACACAAAAGUUUUUAAAAAAACUGGGCCAUCUAUAGAUGGAGCUAUAAUUUUUUUUUGUUGUAUAGAAAUUAGACCAUUAAAUUGAACGUACGAAGUAGACGAAAAGCUGAUACGUCUACUUCAGCAUGGUCAUUUACGGAUAGUAGGUGCAAGCUUUUCAAUAAUUUUUAUUCUAAGAUAGGAACAAAUAAAGCUACGAAACAAAUGUUUGCCUCUAAACAUUUAAGCUAAAAGACCAACUGUCUCUAGUGCAAGUGGCAAAGAGCUUGCUGCUUGGUACCCGAGGUCCCAAUUUCGAAUCCUAAUUGAUUCAUAUUUUUAGCUAAGUUUAUUUCUAAAAAAAAUAAACGAAGCAGGUAGCAUGCUACCUUUCUCUCUCUCUAAAAAAAAAAAAAAGGCUAAAAGAUAGAGAUCCACAUCACAUUAUAUAUAGGUUAGGAUUCUAAUUUAUUUCUAAUAUGACACGAAGCUAGUAUGUUUAUAUGAGAAUCAGACAAAUUAUUUUUGAAAGAUCUGGUCUACGCCAAAUGGGAAUGAGAUGAAAUUGGGUUGAAAGAAUGCGAAGCUAGUUUGAAGUAACUAGAUAAACUAGUUGAGAAUCACAUGAAAUCUGUUGAAAGAGGACUAAACCAAAAAUUACAGGGCCACAAGGGAAGUCUGAAUCGAGCUUUGAUAGUAUAUUAAAAGGGUUGGAGCUCAACCCACCACGAGCUUAAUUAAUUAAUUAAUUAAUUAAACUGCCAGUUGGAGAAACCCUUCACAAUAUAUGUAUGUCAUGAUUCAAAAUUUCUAUUAAAUAAAAGACUACUAUACUUUAACAAGAGUACUAUCAAAAGUGUAGAUAGAUUAGGGGAUGAUUGGAGCACGUCAAUCAAGUUCGCAAGUUUAUACACUAAAUUGACUUGGUAUUCGAACUAUUCAAAGUUUGGAGUCUGAAUGAUGCAGGAGGAUCUAGGUGGCCAAGUUUGGUUUGGGUUAAGACACCAAUAUUGUCCCGUUUUAGUAUAUCUUCCACAUAUGGACUCUGGUNNNNNNNNNNNNNNNNNNNNNNNNNNNNNNNNNNNNNNNNNNNNNNNNNNNNNNNNNNNNNNNNNNNNNNNNNNNNNNNNNNNNNNNNNNNNNNNNNNNNCUUGCUAGCUGUCAACUCGAUCAGACGUUUGAAGCUUCAGUGGGAAGAGAACAGCGUGUUUAAACAAGCGUACCCUGGCCCCGAAAUUUAAUGGAAUUUAAAUAUUUUCUUUUCUUUUUUCUUUUUUUAAUUAUUGUAAUUAUUAUUAUUAUUAUUAUUAUUAUUAUUAUUAUUAUUAUUAUUAUUUAUUUUUUUAUUUUGGUAUCGUUCGUAGAUUGUUCUACCUCACUCUUGUAGCUUAAUUCAUUUCUUUAAUGAAUGAAACAGCUAGCAUGCUACCUUUUUCUCAAAAAAAAAAACUAUAAUCAUAUAAUAUAUAAUUGAAACAUGUUGGUAAAGCUUUCUAAAGUAUUCGAUAAAUCAUAUCUGAUCCAGAUCCUAUCCGGGCCCGAACUGAACCCGGUAAAACAUAGAUAACAUACGGGUAAAAAAAAAUUACCCAUUAAAGUUUCGAGUAUGAGUCCGGAUAUUUUAUACCCAUACUUGAUUUGGACCCGAUCCAAACCCAACUUUUAAAUGGGUAGGAUCCGAAAUAGUUUUCAAAUCUAGAACCAGACUCAAAUCUGAUGAUAUAUCUGAUAGUAAAUAAAAAAAAUUUGAAUUUUCGAAGUUGAGGGAUCAAUUUUAAUAGGACUUAUAAAUGAAGGGUCUCUAAGUAUUUUUAUUCUAAUAAAACACUAAAAUCCUAGCCGCUCUUUUACUCUUUUUUUAAUUUUUUUUAAUUUUUUAUUUUUUACUCUUUAUUUUUUUGUUUCAUUUCCGCCUAAGAGUUUUUUAUGAAACAAUAUUUCUAUCAUUGUCAUCAUCAACAAAAUUAAUCUUAUAUAGGCGUGGCACAAAUGAGUUUUUUUCAAAUCCCUUUUCCAAUCAUAGUCAACAACCUAUUUUUUUUUUAAUAAAUAUUCUAUUUAGUAAAUUUUAUGAUUCCUCUUUAUUUUUUCCCUUUUUUUGAAUAUUAAUAUAUAAAUAUUAGUAAUUAUUACAACUUAUAUUCUCUUUAUCUAUAUCAUGGUAUCAUAAUUUUCUUAUUUUUGCGUGUUUAUAUAUGAAACUGUUUUAAAUUUUAGGCUUUUAAUUAAUCAGUCAAUAUAAUGGCCGAAAUAAGUUCUGCCCAGAUAAUUUAAUAAAGUCUAUAAAAAAAAUAUAUGUAUAUGAAUAUCCGUACCCGAUUUAGACCCGACCUGUAUCCGGUCAUUAAUGGGUAAUGUACGGGUAGGGUAGUCGCUACCCAUACCCACUCAAAUAGACCCAAUGGAUAUAUUAAUAACUUAAAGUAUCCAGACCCGAAUUCAACCCGAAGUUAAAUGGAUAGAGUAUUUUUUUUUUGUAACCAUUUUUUUUAGGGUAAGAAUACCGACCGUCCCUAGAGCAAGUGGCAAAGGGCUUGGUGGUUGGUACCCGAGACCCAAGUUUGAAUCCUAGUUGAUUCACAUUUCUAGCUAAGUUUAUUUUUAAAUGAAAUAAACGAAGCAGAUAGCGUGCUAUCUAUCUCUCUUACAAAAAAAAAAAAAAAAAAAAAAAAAAAAAAAAACUACCCAAGAGUUGAAUUUUAUAAUAUUUUGGCAUCAUCUACUUUACGAGUAAAAGAUCUCAAAUGUAAGAAUUUUAACGGCCAAUAUAAAACAUUUUCUCAUUUAACAGUGUGGAACAAUUAAAUUUGAUUAAAGUUUUGAUAGAAAAUUCGAUAAGCUAUGCAUCUAGGCCAAGAUUAAUAAUUCCAAUCUUAAAUUAAAAAGAAAAAGAAAAAGAAAAAGAAAAAUAUAAUCCUCUACUUUUGGAAGAUUGUUCAACUUUAACCAUUUAUUUUAUAUCCUCCUAAUGGACUUGAUAAAAGUGAAGAAAAUACUAUUCUAUUCGUUGUUAUUUAAAGGCUAUAAUGUAUAGACAUCCUCUAAACUUUAACUUGUUUUGAAAUUAGCUCUUUGAAACUUUUUAAUUUAGUUACACCCCUUCUACUUACUGACCAUUGGAUUUAACUCCUACUAGAAAUUCUGUUGUUUNUAACUUGUUUUGAAAUUAGCUCUUUGAAACUUUUUAAUUUAGUUACACCCCUUCUACUUACUGACCAUUGGAUUUAACUCCUACUAGAAAUUCUGUUGUUUCUGUUAUAUGCAAUGCUCGUGAGAGAUGCUCUUGAUCUCACUCGUGCAUCUCUCAUAAGCGUUUGUUUUGAUUCCGGUAGAAUCACGAAAGGACAAAUAAAACGAUUAGUAAAUAGAGAAGAAAAAAAGAAGUUCACAGGAUCAAUCUUAAAACAGGAUAAAAUUUAGGUGGGUGUCUAUACAUUAGUAGAUUAUAUCUAAUUGUAUGGAUUGUUGAUUUUAAUACUCUUUCCCUCUCUUUUUAUAUAUAGCCUGGUGUUACUAUUGGUUAAAGAUAAGGUUAAAUAUAUAUAAAAUAUAGUAUGACAAAGGUUCUUUUCUUGUGGGAUACUUAAAUCCUGUUAUGAGUUUUACUUUCGCUUUAUUAGAAUUCUAAUCAAACAAAUUAAUUGUCUAUAAAAAUAUUAUUAUUCUUCCCUAUAAUGUGAGGAUGUAUGCAGUACAGUGAGGCAUCGACAAGGCACUUCAUCUGCAACCCAACAGUUAUAGUGAAAAAAAUCAAUUUGGUUGAACCAAAAUAUUGACAAUUUCAGUCUUGUUCGCUUUGCUGUACUGUAGAAAACUAAUAGAUAUAUAAAAAUUGCUAUUAUGUAGCACUAUCCCUUAGCCCCAAAGACCAAUUAAUUCAGAGGGGAAAAUUGCAUGCAUCCCCUUUUAAUUAAUUUUGAGUGGUGUUGUUGUUGUGUAAGUUGAUGAUCGAUCACUAUUAGAACGGCUACUAUGGAAGGUCUAAUUAAUUAAACCAAUUACAAAUGGUCUAAAAGAAAAUUAUGUCCUUUCGUGUCAAUCAAGAUCAUUGUUGACACAUGCUAAACAAGUUGGUACUAGUCCUUGGCCUCGGGAGUAUUUGUUCAAAUUUUAGUGGGCGCCUUUUUUGGGCCGGGUACAUUGUUAGUUGCUGCUAUGCUGUUGCUACAGUUCGAAUCCUGUGCAGGGGGGGUCGAAACCGUGGAUUGCCAAUAGGCCACUAAUAAAACAAUAUCCGUAUUCCUUGAAAGAUCGAUGUUUAAUUAUCUAGACUAGACUAGAUGCGCGUUUGAUUCGACAGUUUAUCUCAACAUAAUUAAAUAUCUAAAAUUUCUGAAUCAAAUUAUUACUUAGAUUGGAUUAGUACGUUUAGUUAGUUCAAUCCAGUAAUAUAAUGCUGAAUUAUAGCAUAUAUUGUAUUAAUAUGUUUGGUUCAGUUUAUUAAAUUCAACAAUCCUUACAGCAAAUCGUAGGCCAUUCCAAAAUUUUCUUUGGCAGCAACGUCGACGGCAGAGAGGCAACUGAGGUGGCCGAGAUUGGUAGUUGGGAAGGGUUCGCGAAAAUGGAAAUAGAAGAAGAGAGAGAGAAAAUAAUGACGUGUCGAAGGGGUUGGAGAGGUUGGAUGGGUAAAAUUAUAAUUUCACAUAAUAUAUAUGAUUAAUCGCCAUCAGUAAUAUGAAAUACCUACCCACUCGGUAAUAUUUCAGAGUAAUCUUGCACCAUUUAUAAUGCUCAAUUAUUGACCGAAUUACAAAUUUGAUGAAUCAAAUACAGCAAUACUAAUAAAAUUGUCUGUAAUCAUGACAAGAUAAGCCGAAUCAAAUGCGCUCUUAGGCAUAUUAUAUAUUAUUUUUAAGUUUUUUAUUUCGAGAAAAAACACUCAUCUUGUAUACGGAAGGUACGUUGCUGAAUAAUCAUUGCUGUUAUGAUCAUGCAAUCGAGUGAAAGCAUGUUCCAAAAUUGCAAUUACAAAAAGAUAAAAAUUAUUUAUUGGUUGACAGCAGUCCACGGAUGAUUGGUUUUCUCUAUAUCAAUUGGUCAAAGUGCAUCAAGUGAUCAUCCCGUCUGACUACUCGUUUCCUUCUGGACCACUAAUUUUCACCGCAUAAUCAAUCCGUGUCCAUGAAAUUCGCUAACCGAAUAAAUUGUUAUUGUAAAUAUAAGUGUUUAUCUCAAAAUUUUAAAAAGAGCAAAACUUCUAUACAAUAUACUUGCAAUACUUUUAAAAGGCAAGAGAGUUCAAAAGUUAAAAGUAAAGUAUAAUUUCUUAAUUUGUCCGAGUAUUGUUGGAAUACAAUAAAGUAACGGGUUGGUCGGUCCUGUCAACAGAACUACAGGAGAGAGAAAAACCAGGUCGGUAAAAAUGUACCGAGGCCCCUCCACUAUAGGACGGAUUGAAUGCAGUCCUUAACCUUUUUUAAGUUAAAAUUUUAUGAAUUUUUUUUAUUUUCAUUACAAAUAUUUAAGGCAAUUUCACAAAUAUUUUACAUCUGGGAUCCGUUUCAAUACCGCUUGUAGUUGGGGGUAGGGGUGGCAACCCAACUCGCCGUUCGCGAGUCAGUUCGUGUUCGGCUCAAAAUGAGCUCGAGAUCGAAUCGCUCGUUUAGUAAACGAGCCUGACACGAGCUGAAUUUUUCAGCUCAUUUAAUAAACGAGCCGAACACCAGCUAGGGUCAGCUCGCUCAUGUUCGGCUCGAUAACAGCUCGAAUACAUAUAUUUUAUAUUUAUAUAAUUUAUUUAAUUUAUAUUUAUAUAUAUAAAUAAAUAACUAUAUAUAUAAUAUAUAUUUUUAUUAUUUAA
rnacentral:lncRNA from 1 species